AAUAGAUACCCUGGUAGUCCACGCCGUAAACGAUGUCGACUUGGAGGUUGUUCCCUUGAGGAGUGGCUUCCGAAGCUAACGCGUUAAGUCGACCGCCUGGGGAGUACGGCCGCAAGGUUAAAACUCAAAUGAAUUGACGGGGGCCCGCACAAGCGGUGGAGCAUGUGGUUUAAUUCGAUGCAACGCGAAGAACCUUACCUACUCUUGACAUCCACGGAACUUUUCAGAGAUGAAUUGGUGCCUUCGGGAACCGUGAGACAGGUGCUGCAUGGCUGUCGUCAGCUCGUGUUGUGAAAUGUUGGGUUAAGUCCCGCAACGAGCGCAACCCUUAUCCUUUGUUGCCAGCGGUCCGGCCGGGAACUCAAAGGAGACUGCCAGUGAUAAACUGGAGGAAGGUGGGGAUGACGUCAAGUCAUCAUGGCCCUUACGAGUAGGGCUACACACGUGCUACAAUGGCGCAUACAAAGAGAAGCGACCUCGCGAGAGCAAGCGGACCUCAUAAAGUGCGUCGUAGUCCGGAUUGGAGU
rnacentral:rRNA from 1 species